rnacentral:rRNA from 1 species
UACAGAGGUGGCAAGCGUUGUUCGGAAUUACUGGGCGUAAAGGGCGCGUAGGUGGCCUUCUUAGUCAGACGUGAAAUCCCCGGGCUUAACUCGGGAACUGCGUCUGAUACUGGAAGGCUGGAGUUCGGGAGAGGAAUGUGGAAUUCCCGGUGUAGCGGUGAAAUGCGCAGAUAUCGGGAGGAACACCAAUGGCGAAGGCAGCUCGCUGGGACGUGACUGACGCUGAGACGCGAAAGCGUGGGGAGCAAACAGG